AUUGAACGCUGGCGGCAUGCCUUACACAUGCAAGUCGAACGGCAGCACGGGGCAACCUGGUGGCGAGUGGCGAACGGGUGAGUAAUGCAUCGGAACGUACCUUUCAGUGGGGGAUAACGUAGCGAAAGUUACGCUAAUACCGCAUAUUCUGUGAGCAGGAAAGCAGGGGAUCGCAAGACCUUGCGCUCAUUGAGCGGCCGAUGUCAGAUUAGCUAGUUGGUGAGGUAAAGGCUCACCAAGGCGACGAUCUGUAGCGGGUCUGAGGAUGAUCCGCCACACUGGGACUGAGACACGGCCCAGACUCCUACGGGAGGCAGCAGUGGGGAAUUUUGGACAAUGGGGGCAACCCUGAUCCAGCCAUGCCGCGUGAGUGAAGGAGGCCUUCGGGUUGUAAAGCUCUUUCGGCCGGGAAGAAAUCGCACAGGCUAAUACCUUGUGUGGAUGACGGUACCGGAAUAAGAAGCACCGGCUAACUACGUGCCAGCAGCCGCAGUAACAC
rnacentral:rRNA from 1 species